GAAAGAAAACCAAGUUACCAAGUUUGACGACUUACAUUAAUUGCAAGUUAAUUUCAUCUGCAGAAUCAAGAAAAGGUGAUGUUUGAUCUUCACUUGGAAUGUUGCUUGUUUGAUCCUCACUAGAUAUGUCAAAAGGAAGUUGAAAUGGCUUUGGAGGU